rnacentral:rRNA from 1 species
UACGUAGGGUGCGAGCGUUAAUCGGAAUUACUGGGCGUAAAGCGUGCGCAGGCGGCUUUGCAAGACAGAUGUGAAAUCCCCGGGCUCAACCUGGGAACUGCAUUUGUGACUGCAAGGCUAGAGUACGGCAGAGGGGGAUGGAAUUCCGCGUGUAGCAGUGAAAUGCGUAGAUAUGCGGAGGAACACCAAUGGCGAAGGCAAUCCCCAGGGCCUGUACUGACGCUCAUGCACGAAAGCGUGGGGAGAAAACAGG